rnacentral:lncRNA from 10 species
UGUAGAUGCACUUUGAGUAGCAAGGGUCUAGAAUGCAUAAAAAGAAGAUUUGGAAUUUGAUAUGAUGGAAAAAAACUUUUAUAGGCCUGAAGAGGGAAAGAUAAAGGUAGAUUAUGGCACUGAUGAAAACAGUAAUGACAAUAAUAACAUUUAUUAAAUUUUUACAUAAAUUAUCUCCAAUUCUUAACCUGGUCAGUUAAAGAAGCAACUACCAAGGAGUCAAGAAUAUCAUUGUAAAAAACAGGGGUAAAGCGGGAGACAAGGACUUUAUUCAGGUAAAAUAAGUUCAACCCUCACCCCUCCCACACCCUCCCUCUUUUUGGAGUCUACAGUGUCUAUUAUUUCCCUCUGUAUGUCUAUGUGUACCCAUUGUUUAGCUCCCACUUCAAAUAAGAAUAUGCAGUAUUUGAUUUUCUGUUUCUGAGUUAUUUCACAUAGGAUAAUGGCCUCCAAUUCCAUUCAUUUUGCUGCAAAAGACAUGAAUCAUUCCUUUAUAUAAAGGCUGUGUAGUAUUCCAUGGUGUAUAUAUCCAGUUAUCUAUUGAUGGGCAGUUAGAUUGACUCAGUCCUCUUAUUCAUUGGAGAGUUUGACACACACAAAGCUGUCCUUUUGAAGCCUAAAGAACUAACAUGGAAGGCGUUAGUAAUUAUAAUUUGCUCAGAAUUGAGCACAGUGUAUGAUCACAUGCAGUGGAAAUCUAGUAAAUGGUCAUUGACUUGUGUUAUUCCAUGCUAGCCCCAGAUUAUGCCUGACUGGAAGUAGGUCUUUAGGGGUUGUUGCUUCUG